rnacentral:lncRNA from 1 species
CUUUCACACCCUCGGAGACUUAUCACUCCAGCUUGGUGGAGAUCUGCUCUGCUGUCUUAACCCUCUCUCUCCUACUGCGGCUGAGAGUUUGUCGGACAGGAUGACAAUCUUAACCCUUCACUCCAUCCUCUGGAUCUGCUCCUGUCCCAGCCGCCUCCCACUCAGGAGUUCCCUCCCACUCAGCGGCUCCCCAAGGGUAGGUUUACUUACUGCUGGGGUCCAGGGUCUUGCUCACAGUGCCUGUCCCAGAGGCAGGCUGAGGCGUGGGUGCUUGUGAUACGCCACCUGCCUUUCUCCUCUGCUACCGCCAGUAAGGUGGCCCCAGGUUGGGGACUGUGCUGCUGCAGCUUGCCGGGAGCCCCACCUCGCAAUGGGUGAGCUUCGGGGAGAUACGGGAGCGCUAAAUCGAAGCCCGGUCGGAAGAUGUCCGAGGAGGGGCUGGCCUCAGCUACCAUCGCCUGUCCCAGCCUGGUGCAAGGGGCUGGGUAGAGACUCAACACCAGAUGGUUCCGGCCUCCGUUCCAGUUCGGAGGCAGGGGCCCGCAGGCUCCUCUACGAUCCUGGCUGGGGAGAAAAAGGAGAAGGCAAGCGUCUGCUGGGCUGAGUGCAGAGUAGCGGGAGCCUUCCAAGGAAUCCAGGAUCCUGCGCUGAGCCUCAGAGGUCGGACCAGCCGGGGAGUGCACAAAGAUCUUGAGGACCUUUCCCCUACACUUGGAGGUGUCAAAGCAGGCUCCCCAGGUGCAGCUGCUUCCCCGAGAGACCCGAGGGAGCUGUGCGACAUCUUCUGGGUUCGUCUCAGACUGGGAGAAACUCUGUAAGAAGGCAGCAUCCAGCCAGCGGGGCCAGCCUUGGGAGCGCCCUGGAAGAGGACCGGGCAACACUGCCAGGCGAAGGGGGAAGACUCCUAGGAGGACGAGGAGGAGCCAGAAGGCUGACAACGCCAGCCAGAAGGACUUUCUUCUCCACAGCAUGUGGCCACCAACAGCUAGGACUAGAAGGAAGUGAGGAAUUUCUGUAGCAAGUGGAGGAGGCGACCCCAGGCAGGAGGGAGCUGGAAAUCAGCCUUCUGGUCCAGCGCUCUCACCAUUGAAGGCAGGUCCCCUAGCUAAGUUCGACUAACCAUUGGCCACCUGUGGGAUUGACCCCUCGUGGGAAGUCCAAGGAGGCUCUGGCUUUCUAAAUUUGCAUUCCCACUCUCCGACUGCUUUCUCUACCUUCACACAACCUUGCCACCCUUUGCCCUCUCAUCGGGACCUCUGCCCUGGGCCACUGCUCGGGCUGAUGCAACCCUUGUCCAGACCACAAGAUCGUGUCCAUUUGCGCUCAGGACUGCACCCCUGAUCUUACCCUUGACCCAAGGGCAGGCUAUCUAUGGAGAACUGUCUGGGUUCAUGGGGAGUGGGUAUCGGGAGGGGGUGGCCAAGGAUGAUGUAGAAGGAGGCAGGACUGUCCUCUCCCACUCUUCCCUCUGCCCCAAAAGCUCUUGAAAAAAACCCUGGCUACCCCUGUGUUUGGUGGCUGGCCUUCUGUGGCAGAACUAUAAAUAGACCUUGUGUCCAUGUGGGCCACCAGAGCCAGCUGAAGUUGGAGCCGGAGUGCAUCCCAUGCCCGCCGCCUGGGGAAUGAGAAGGUUCGGAGUGUGGUCUUCUUCCCCUCGGCUAUGGCCCCUAACCCAGGCAGCUGCUCUGCACCCUCCGGCUAGGAGCUGUCACAGGGCAGAGGGCAAGACCUACGCUCCAAAUUCCUGUUCCUGCCCCACAGGUCCAGCCGGCAGCUCCAGGUCCCACUCCAGAAGGUAUCAAGUCGGUCCAGCUCUCUUUCGCAGCAGCAGCAGCCUGGCCACACCCCCGCCAGCUCUGAUUGGCUCCUGGCUAGGAGGCAGGGUUUCCACUUAACCCCUUGCAACCUCUUUCGCUGGGGUACCGUUUCGUUUCUUUUUCCUUUUUUUUUUUUUUUGAGACGAGGGGGGUGGGGAUGUUCCUGUAGCCCCGGUUGGUUUCAAACCCACCUUGCAACCAAGGACUUUGAGUCCCUGAUCAAUCUGUCUUCACCUCGGAGUGCUCGAAUGCCAGCUACCUGCCAUCACGCCUGGCUCUGGAAGAUUAAUAAUGGUCAGGAGGGCACCAUACCUCACUGGUGGCUGUGGAUUGACAGUUUGCUUCUCUCCAAGGUCUUUACCAGUGAUCCAAAGUAGAUGUUUAUCUGCCUUUCCCCCCCCCUUUUAUUACGAUUAUCAUUGUCUAUUUUUAGAAUUGAUGUUGUGGUACUGGGAGUAGAACCCAAGGCUUUGUGCACACUAGACAAGUAUUCUAUCACUGAAUUACAUCACCAGCUCUUUUGUCUUUUUUACUAUUGAGAAAAAUGAAGCGCAGAGCAGGGAUUGCCUUUCUUAAGGUGACCCAGCUUUGAUGUGUCCAGGUGAAGAUUUGAACUCAGAGCCUGGCCUGAUGGGGCCUCUUCUUGUCCCCUCGGCCACUGAAUGGAGCUGGGCAGUGUCUACCUGCAUCUUUAAAAUGGAUUAACAUCAUUCCCUUGGAGGGUUGCUAUUGUAGGUCCUACAAGAGCACUUGGUGGGGUGUCCUUCAACAAGGAAGUAUCCUUCCGCUGGCCUCUCCUCCUUGGUGAGCAGCCUGAGGGCAGGGCACAGUGAGGUGCCCAGGAACAUCCUCAAAAUGGGAUCAAGAAGAAUCUGGCCUCUUGCAGUAAGAGGUAGGUCGCUCCGUGAUAGACAGCUGCUCAGGCAAACCGCAGGCUUUCUCACGCAGGAGACAGGUGUGGGCAUGCGCUGUUGCCAUCCCACCAGGCUUGGAAUUGGCAGAAGGUUCCCUUCCUCUAGGAAGCGGCUGAGACUCCUGAGUCAGAGCCAGGACCCUCCUUCAGGGGCUCAAGCUUGCUCUGGCCACAUCCAUGUUCAAUCAUCUAAGAGAUCCUUCGCAUCCUAACUUGGACCAGGUUCCCAGGGAGGCACUGGAAGUGCCAUGCUGAAUAAGAGUAAUAGUGUAGGUGACUAUGUCCUGAGCACGCUGGAAAUGACUAUAAAGGAGAUAUUACUAUCAUUCCCAUUUUACAGAAGAGAAAGUUGAGGCUCAGGGAACUUGAGUAACUUUGCCUGUAUUCCCAUGGCUUAGCCAGGUCCUAAGCCAUCUAUCUAUACAUCUUCUCUUUUAUUCUGAGGCAGUGUUUCUCUAUGUAGCCAAGAACACACUAUAUAAACCAGGCUAGCCUUGAUCUUGCGUGUCUCUGUGUCCCCUGUGCUAGGAUUAAAGGUAUAUGUUACC